GACGAAUGCUGGCGGCGUGCUUAACACAUGCAAGUCGAACGGUGAACAGGAGCUUGCUCCUGGGAUCAGUGGCGAACGGGUGAGUAACACGUGGGCAACCUGCCCCUCACUCUGGGAUAACUCCGGGAAACCGGGGCUAAUACCGGAUACGACCUGGAGCGACCUCUCUCCAGGUGGAAAGAACUUCGGUGAGGGAUGGGCCCGCGGCCUAUCAGCUAGUUGGUGGGGUAACGGCCUACCAAGGCGACGACGGGUAGCCGGCCUGAGAGGGCGACCGGCCACACUGGGACUGAGACACGGCCCAGACUCCUACGGGAGGCAGCAGUGGGGAAUAUUGCGCAAUGGGCGAAAGCCUGACGCAGCGACGCCGCGUGAGGGACGACGGCCUUCGGGUUGUAAACCUCUUUCAGCAGGGACGAAGCGAAAGUGACGGUACCUGCAGAAGAAGCACCGGCUAACUACGUGCCAGCCGCCGCUGUAAAAC
rnacentral:rRNA from 1 species